rnacentral:tRNA from 1 species
UGCCCCAUAGCUCAAUUGGCAGAGCGUCGGAUUCUGGUUCCGAAGGUUCAAGGUUCGACUCCUUGUGGGGCAA